UCCGAAUUGGUGUAGUGGCUAACAUUUGACGCUCUCAUUCCUGAUGAUCCGUCAAGCCCGGGGUUCGAUUCCCCGAUUCGGAG